rnacentral:rRNA from 1 species
AUGGACGCAAGUCUGAUGGAGCAACGCCGCGUGAGUGAAGAAGGGUUUCGGCUCGUAAAGCUCUGUUGGUAGUGAAGAAAGAUAGAGGUAGUAACUGGCCUUUAUUUGACGGUAAUUACUUAGAAAGUCACGGCUAACUACGUGCCAGCAGCCGCGGUAAUACGUAGGUGGCAAGCGUUGUCCGGAUUUAUUGGGCGUAAAGCGAGUGCAGGCGGUUCAAUAAGUCUGAUGUGAAAGCCUUCGGCUCAACCGGAGAAUUGCAUCAGAAACUGUUGAACUUGAGUGCAGAAGAGGAGAGUGGAACUCCAUGUGUAGCGGUGGAAUGCGUAGAUAUAUGGAAGAACACCAGUGGCGAAGGCGGCUCUCUGGUCUGCAACUGACGCUGAGGCUCGAAAGCAUGGGUAGCGAACAGGAUUAGAUACCCUGGUAGUCCAUGCCGUAAACGAUGAGUGCUAAGUGUUGGGAGGUUUCCGCCUCUCAGUGCUGCAGCUAACGCAUUAAGCACUCCGCCUGGGGAGUACGACCGCAAGGUUGAAACUCAAAGGAAUUGACGGGGGCCCGCACAAGCGGUGGAGCAUGUGGUUUAAUUCGAAGCAACGCGAAGAACCUUACCAGGUCUUGACAU